rnacentral:rRNA from 1 species
ACCCNGGGAAACUCGGGCUAAUACCGCAUACGCUCUACGGAGGAAAGCUGGGGACCGCAAGGCCUGGCGCUAACAGAUGAGCCCAAGUCGGAUUAGCUAGUUGGUAGGGUAACGGCCUACCAAGGCGACGAUCCGUAGCUGGUCUGAGAGGACGACCAGCCACACUGGGACUGAGACACGGCCCAGACUCCUACGGGAGGCAGCAGUGGGGAAUAUUGGACAAUGGGCGAAAGCCUGAUCCAGCGACGCCGCGUGGGUGAAGAAGGCCUGCGGGUUGUAAAGCCCUUUCGGUGGGGAAGAAAAGCUUCGACCUAAUACGUCGAGGUCUUGACGUAACCCACAGAAGAAGCACCGGCUAACUCUGUG